AAAAAGAUAAGCUAAUCAAGCUAUUAGGUUCAUACCCUGACCAUGAAAGUUAUAAUCUUUCUCUUUUUA
rnacentral:tRNA from 1 species